CCUACGUGAGGCUGCAGUGGGGAAUAUUGCACAAUGGGGGGAACCCUGAUGCCGCAAUGCCGCGUGAAGGAUGAAGGUUUUCGGAUUGUAAACUUCUUUUGUACGGGACGAAGAAAGUGACGGUACCGUAAGAAUAAGCCCCGGCUAACUACGUGCCCGCAGCUGCGGUAAUACGUAGGUGGCACGCGUUAUCCGUAUUUACUGGGUGUAAAGGGCGAGUAGGCGGGAUUGCAAGUCAGAUGUGAAAACUAUGGGCUCAACCGAUAGAGUGCAUUUGAAACUGCAGUUCUUGAGUGAUGUAGAGGCAGGCGGAAGUCCCUGUGUAGCGGUGGAAUGCGUAGAUAUCGGGAGGAACACCAGAGGCGAAGGCGGCCUGCUGGACAUUAACGGACGCGGAGGCGCGAAAGCGUGGGGAGCAAACAGGAUUAGAUACCCGAGUAGUC
rnacentral:rRNA from 1 species